rnacentral:rRNA from 1 species
AGCUCCAGUAGCGUAUAUUAACGUUGUUGCAGUUAAAAAGCUCGUAGUUGGAUUUCUGACCUCGAGUGCUGCUUGCGCCGGUAGCCUUCGGGCACGUGCGACAACGCAGCACCGGUCAUCCUCCGGGCGCCGAUCAUUGCUCUUCACUGGGUGGAUGGUCGCGCUCCCGGUCGUUUACUUUGAACAAAUUAGAGUGUUUAAAGCAGGCUUCGAUGCCUGAAUACAUUAGCAUGGAAUAAUAAGAUAGGACUUCGGUCUUAUUUUGUUGGUUUCUAGGACUGAAGUAAUGAUUGAUAGGGAUAGUUGGGGGUGCUCGUACUCAUGUGGCCAGAGGUGAAAUUCGAUGAUUCACUGGGGACGAACUUAUGCGAAAGCAUUCACCAAGGAUGUCUUCUUUAAU